AUACGGAGGGGACAAGCGUUGUUCGGAAUCAUUGGGCGUAAAGCGGGUGUAGGCGGCUUGGCAAGUCGGAUGUGAAAGCCCGGGGCUCAACCCCGGAAUUGCAUUCGAAACUGCUUGGCUAGAGUCUCGGAGAGGAGGGCGGAAUUCCCGGUGUAGAGGUGAAAUUCGUAGAUAUCGGGAGGAACACCAGUGGCGAAGGCGGCCACCUGGACCGGUACUGACGCUGAGGUGCGAAAGCGUGGGGAGCAAACAGGAUUAGAAACCCCGGUAGUCC
rnacentral:rRNA from 1 species